rnacentral:rRNA from 1 species
AAAUGAAUAGACGGGGACCCGCACAAGUGGUGGAGCAUGUGGUUUAAUUCGAAGAUACGCGAAAAACCUUACCUAGCCUUGACAUUGAUAGAACCCGCUAGAGAUAGUGGGGUGCCCUUCGGGGAACUUGAAAACAGGUGCUGCACGGCUGUCGUCAGCUCGUGUCGUGAGAUGUUGGGUUAAGUCCCGCAACGAGCGCAACCCUUUUUCUUAGUUGCUAACAGUUUGGCUGAGCACUCUAGGAAUACUGCCUACGCAAGUAGGAGGAAGGCAAGGACGACGUCAAGUCAUCAUGGCCCUUACGGCUAGGGCUACACACGUGCUACAAUGGGACAUACAGAGUGUUGCGAUACCGCGAGGUGGAGCCAAUCACUUAAAAUGUCUCUCAGUUCGGAUUGUUCUCUGCAACUCGAGAGCAUGAAGCUGGAAUCACUAGUAAUCGUAGAUCAGAACUGCUACGGUGAAUACGUUCCCGGGUCUUGUACACACCGCCCGU